GACGUUGGCAUCUGGCCCUGUGGUUCCUGCAUGAAAACAGUGGCUGGCGGGACCUGGACCUACAAUAACCACUUCCUCAGUCACAGUGAAGUCUGCC
rnacentral:miRNA from 14 species